UACGAAGGGGGCGAGCGUUGUUCGGAAUUACUGGGCUUAAAGCGUGCGUAGGCGGAUAUACAAGUUGGGAGUGAAAUCCCAGGGCUUAACCCUGGAAUUGCUCUCAAAACUGUAAAUCUAGAAUCCGGUAGAGGUUAAUGGAAUGUCCAGUGUAGAGGUGAAAUUCGCAGAUAUUGAACGGAACACCAGUGGCGAAGGCGAUUAACUGGGCCGGUAUUGACGCUGAGGUACGAAAGCGUGGGUAGCAAACAGG
rnacentral:rRNA from 1 species